rnacentral:sRNA from 1 species
UACAAUAUAACACUUGUGUUUAGUCACUAC